UCUUAAAAAUCAAUGUCUUGUGUUUUAUGAAAAAUACAAAUUUUAGAAUUAAGGAGUUCGGAAGGUGUCAAGGUGACAAACCACGAACUUGGUAAAUAAAUGUUUAUUUUGUAAGUUUAACUAAGUUAAGUUUUAGUUUCUAGAAUACUUACAUCUAGAGGCACUAGUCAAGCUUAAAAUCUAGUCGACUACAAAUUUAUUUAUCACACCCGAUAACUAAUAUAUUGAUCUACGCCCAGGCUGUCAAACACAGUUGGCGUCUGAGCGUAUAACGGGUGAAAGAUUGCGAAUUGAAGUGAAAUCUCGACUAAACCUAGUAAUUAAUAUUAAAUAUCUUUAAACUAACUUUGCAUCGUUUAUUUUGAGUAUUGUGAAUGAGCGAUUACGUGUGUAAGAAAGAUAUUCGCUAAAACUUGCAUUUUAUGAUGGAAGAAGAGAUCAAGAGAACAAAUAUAUAAGUAGUUUUCUCCCAUAUUGUUAUUGAUUGUUAUUAAUAAGAGACGCUAUAAAACUCUAUACUUAUUCCUUGUAUUGCAUAUUCAAUAACUAAAUGUCAUUUAUACGCCUUGCACUCUUGAUAUCCACGGUUAGGUGUGACAGCUGAAGUUACUUUUGAUGGUCGCCUCUCUUUUUUUCAAAUAAUUGGUAGUCAUCAAAAUGCUACGUGUAUUGACAUUGACAAUUAAUACUGCAAUAAUAGAGUAAAGGGAACGUCUGAAAUAUAAAUAUAUUCGAGGUGUUAAGGAAAACGGUAGCAACAAAAUUCGAAGCGCAAAAAAAAUGGAGAAUGAAGGAAUAAUUAUUCAGAAUCUCUCGAGAAUACAUCUUCGAUGAAAUAAUAAAUUAAUUUUGGGAUAUAAAUGUUAGACUGACAACAAUUGAAAUAUUCACAACGUGGGAUAGCCAGCGCGCAUGGGAUUUCAAUGUAUAAACAACACCACUGGCUAUAUACGCGGCAUAAUAUACAAUGCG